rnacentral:rRNA from 1 species
GUCUUAUUGAAUUUAAUAAUAAGUUUAUUCUGCCCAUUGAAUUAAAAUUUAAAAGGCUGCAGUAUAUUGACUGUACAAAGGUAGCAAAAUCAAUAGUUUUUUAAUUGAAAACUUGAAUGAAAGAAUUGAUAAAAUAUAAACUGUCUCAAAUUAAUUAAAUUUGAAUUUAAAUUGAAAGUUAAAAUGCUUUUAUUAAUUUAUUAGACGAUAAGACCCUAAGAAUUUUAAAAUAUAAUUUUAUAUAAUAAAUUUUGUAAUUUAAAAAUAUAUAAAUUUAUGUUUUUUUAUUGGGAGGGUAAUUAAAUUUUUUAACUUUAAUUUUAUAUUAACAUAGAUGAAUGAAUAUUGAUGAUAAUUUUUAUAAUUAUGAGAAUUAAUUACCUUAGGGAUAACAGCGUAAUAAUUUUGGAAAGUUCAUAUUAAUAAAAUUGAUUGCGACCUCGAUGUUGAAUUAAAAUAAAAAUUAGGUGAAGAUGCUUAAAUUUUUAGUCUGUUCGACUAUUAAAAUUUUACA